UAACAGUAAGAAAAUUGAAAAAGGGUCUGGUCACUAAGGGGGUAAACAUCCAUCCCUCCUGACAACAAUAUCUUCCUUUCCUCCCACUUGGUUGGUUAUCACUUUUCUGUAACCAGUCAAUGAUAUUCACCCUUCUGUCUCAUCUCUAAUAUGUUCUCUUCACUGUAUUCCAUUUUUCACAUAUCUAGUUCUUAAAACAACUUCCUUUUAUACUCUUUCUUUCCAUUCCCCUGCAGGAUUCACCUUCCUUAUAUUUCACUACACACUGACAUAUUCUGCUCCAAACCCCCACAAUGUCACUCCAUACCUCCUGAGGAUAACCCAGAUAUCAUAAAAUGUUAUUGCAAGCUUGUUUGUAUUUCAUAGAUUAGAAUUCUAGUUUUUAUUGAUAUCCAUAGAAAAG